rnacentral:lncRNA from 1 species
CUAGCUCAUCUAUGCAAGUUCUCAUCCUAUUACAUUUGAUCCAGUAAUUGAAUUACCCACUGUGGGACUGUGAGAAAUGUACCAAUAUUGGAAGUAUAGCCUAUUUACAUGACUGGCCUAAUUGCAAGUAUAGCCUAUUUACACAACUAAUCUAAUUACAGACAUAGACAAACGAAUUACAAAAAUAGCCUAAUUGUAGAUUUGGCUCAGAUA